rnacentral:misc_RNA from 1 species
UAUCACCCUGUUUAAGCUUCUCUGCCAUUUCACUGAAAACUGACAUAUUCCCAACAUAAGAGCUCCUGAAAUCAACUAGCUGGCGGAUAUAAUUUUGACCAAACUUGUAAUAGUCAAAAGGUUCACGAAUGGCCUUAUGAUACGGCGAGAAUUCAAAAGGAUCCUUCACAUCCACAAAAACACGGUCGAAUACAAGAGCCAUGUUAUACAAAAUGGCCUCAUCUGCUUUGGGAACGCCGCUUUGUAAAACUGCAUUCUGAUAGUUCUGAUACAACUCCUCCAUUCCUUCAGCAACAUUCAGUGGCAGUUUUUCAUCUUCCACAGCUUUUCGAACAGCAGAUAGCAAGUCUUCUCCAGUGCGUGCGUCAAGGAAGUCUCGGGACUGCGGAAGCUCAUGACUCUCAGAAGCAGAAACUGUCAUGGCAUCUUCAAUCAUUUCUGCCAUUCCACGUACCUUCGAAGCACAAAAAACGGCACACCGUAGCUUCCGAAUCCCAACCGUCCUCGAUUUCACACCG